UACGUAGGGCGCGAGCGUUGUCCGGAAUUAUUGGGCGUAAAGAGCUCGUAGGCGGCCUGUCGCGUCCGCUGUGAAAACCCGGGGCUUAACCCCGGGCCUGCAGUGGAUACGGGCAGGCUGGAGGCAGGUAGGGGAGAACGGAAUUCCCGGUGUAGCGGUGAAAUGCGCAGAUAUCGGGAGGAACACCGGUGGCGAAGGCGGUUCUCUGGGCAUGACCUGACGCUGAGGAGCGAAAGUGUGGGGAGCGAACAGG
rnacentral:rRNA from 1 species